rnacentral:rRNA from 1 species
UGGGGAAUAUUGCACAAUGGGCGCAAGCCUGAUGCAGCCAUGCCGCGUGUGUGAAGAAGGCCUUCGGGCUGUAAAGCACUUUCAGCGAGGAGGAAGGGUUCAGUGUUAAUAGCACUGUUCAUUGACGUUACUCGCAGAAGAAGCACCGGCUAACUCCGUGCCAGCAGCCGCGGUAAUACGGAGGGUGCAAGCGUUAAUCGGAAUUACUGGGCGUAAAGCGCACGCAGGCGGUUUGUUAAGUCAGAUGUGAAUCCCGCGCUUAACGUG